CCCCUUGUAGCUCAGUUGGUAGAGCAGCUCCCUUUUAAGGAGAUGGUCGCAGGUUCGAAUCCUGCCGAGGGGA
rnacentral:tRNA from 1 species